rnacentral:lncRNA from 1 species
UUUUCUCUAGCCUCACUUAUCUCUAUACCAUAACCAUGGCUACCGUUGUCGGCUAGCCACCAUGGGUUAUAGAAAAAUUUGGCCUCCUUUCUCCCACUCUCUUCCGUCUCUCACUCUCAUCGAUGACUCACCGAAAUUAAUGACCAACAAGUCCGAGGCAGCAUCAAUAGCGUCAACCGCCAUUAAUGGCUGGCGAACAAACCAGCCACCGUGUCUCCCUCCCCUCUUCAUCAUCAGCCACCGGGAAAACCAAGGGAAAACUGCU